GACUACGGCCAUGCCACCCUGAACACGCCGGGUCCCAUCUGAUCUCAGAAGCUAAGCAGGGUCGGGCCUGGUUAGCACUUGGAUGGGAGACCACCUAGGAAGACCAGGUGCUGUAGGCA
rfam:Pteropus alecto contig107003, whole genome shotgun sequence.